CUCGGGUAUCAUAUGCUUUCGGGCGCGCCCUUCGGGGUGUUCGGUGGAAGGGGAAAUCCCGCGUGGGAAUGUCCCAGAUCUUUUGAUUAUGCUUGGCUUGAGGUGAAUAAUACCUUAUACGCCCUUCAGGGGAACGAUUUAAUGCAUUUGGAUCACUCCGAAUACCAUUUGAUAAGGGGGGGGGUAACGGCCUACCUGAUCCUGAAUCUAUAACUGGUGUUGAGCGAAGAGGAUUAACUAUGGCAGUGAUACACGGCCCAAACUCCUGCCGGAGGCUGCUGGGGGGAAUCUUAGACAAUGGGCGCAAGCCUGAUCGUCCCAUGCCGCGAGAGUGACCAAGGCCCUAGGGUCGUAAGGAACUUUCGGGGGCGAUGAUAAUGACAGGACCUGGUGGAUAAAUUCCAGGAAACUCCAUGCACCUUACCACGGCUUAACUGAGGGGGGAAACGUUGUUCGAUAUAUUUUUCUUCAAACACUUUACAAGGUGCUUUGGAAAGUGUGGGGGUGAAAUUGCGGGGCUCAACCCCGUUAACUGCCUCCAACGAUAUCAACCCUUGUUUCUAGAUGCCUGAGUGGAACUCCGAGUACUCAAGCGAGAUUCCCAGAGCUUCCCAAGAACACCAUUGGGAAGAGCGGCUCUCUGCAUCGA
rnacentral:rRNA from 1 species